GCUCAACCGCUCCGACCCCGCCCUGCUCAUCGUGGGGCUGCCCCACAGCGUGAGCUCUGGGCUGAUGGAUCCCCGGGAGGUGCUGACCAGUAACGACGCGGUGCUGGGGGAGGUGCUGCGGGUGCUGCAGGAGGAGCAGUUGCCCUACACGGCCCUGUUCACCGCCCGCAGACCCUCCCGGGCCCCCUCCGCUGCCCGGGGGCCCC